rnacentral:rRNA from 1 species
GAACGCUGGCGGCGUGCUUAACACAUGCAAGUCGAGCGGAAAGGCCCUUCGGGGUACUCGAGCGGCGAACGGGUGAGUAACACGUGAGUAACCUGCCCUCAACUCUGGGAUAAGCCUGGGAAACCGGGUCUAAUACCGGAUAUGACCUUCUGCGGCAUCGCGGGGGGUGGAAAGUUUUUUCGGUUGGGGAUGGGCUCGCGGCCUAUCAGCUUGUUGGUGGGGUAGUGGCCUACCAAGGCGACGACGGGUAGCCGGCCUGAGAGGGCGACCGGCCACACUGGGACUGAGACACGGCCCAGACUCCUACGGGAGGCAGCAGUGGGGAAUAUUGCGCAAUGGGCGGAAGCCUGACGCAGCGACGCCGCGUGGGGGAUGACGGCCUUCGGGUUGUAAACCUCUUUCAGCAGGGACGAAUUCAGACGUGUACCUGUAGAAGAAGCGCCGGCUAACUACGUGCCAGCAGCCGCGGUAAUACGUAGGGCGCGAGCGUUGUCCGGAAUUAUUGGGCGUAAAGAGCUCGUAGGUGGCUU